AAGAACGGUUCUCGUCCAAUCACCGAAGUUAAGCAACAUCGAGCCUGGACAGUAACUGGAUGGGUGACCGCAUGGGAAUACCAGUUUCUGUAA